GAGCCACAAACCAUGUUACAAGAGCUCAGGAAAAUAUUCAGGAAGGUAUGGAGUGUGAUAGGUCGAUUAAUACAGCUGAUGGUCGACCUAUGAAAAUCACACAAUAUGGUAAUUCGACUUUAUCAAUUGAUAAUCGAAAAUUUAAUAUGAAUCAACUACUUUUUGUUCCCUCUGCAUCUAAGAAUCUUAUUUCUGUGAAAAGAUUCUUUAUUGACAAUGAAGUUUCCAUGGAAUUUGAUCCACAGAGAGUGAUUGUGAAGGAUCUCAAAACUAAAGAAGUGCUGAUUCGUGGGCCAACAGGGGAUGGAUUGUAUGAGCUACCAAUUUGUAUGAAGAAUAAAGGAAUGCAGGCUAACCAAGUGGAGAUGGGGAUGAAAGCCACAGCCCAAACAUGGCACUUGAGGCUAGGGCAUCUAUAUUCAAGGGCAGUGGAGGGUCUUAAUAGA
rnacentral:lncRNA from 1 species